rnacentral:rRNA from 1 species
AUCCCUGCGGGGGAAAGAUUUAUCGCUAUUAGAUGAGCCUAUGUUAGAUUAGCUAGUUGGUAGGGUAAAGGCCUACCAAGGCGAUGAUCUAUAGCUGGUCUGAGAGGAUGAUCAGCCACACUGGAACUGAGAUACGGUCCAGACUCCUACGGGAGGCAGCAGUGGGGAAUAUUGGACAAUGGGCGCAAGCCUGAUCCAGCUAUGCCGCGUGAGUGAGGAAGGCCUUAGGGUUGUAAAACUCUUUCAGUAGGGAAGAUAAUGACGGUACA